rnacentral:pre_miRNA from 1 species
AUAAUACUCCCUCCGUCCGAAAAUAUUUGUCAUCAAAAUGGACAAAAAGGGAUGUAUCUAAAACUAAAAUACAUCUAGAUACAUCCUCUUUUAUUCAUUUUGAUGAUAAGUAUUUUCGGACGGAGGGAGUAUGAA